CCUACGGGGGGCAGCAGUGGGGAAUAUUGGGCAAUGGGCGCAAGCCUGACCCAGCAACGCCGCGUGAAGGAAGAAGGCUUUCGGGUUGUAAACUUCUUUUAAGCGGGAAGAGCAGAAGACGGUACAUCUUGAAUAAGCCACGGCUAACUACGUGCCAGCAGCCGCGGUAAUACGGAGGUGGCAAGCGUUGUCCGGAUUUACUGGGUGUACAGGGCGUGUAGCCGGGCAGACAAGGCAGAUGUGAAAUUCCGGGGCUCAACCCCGGACCUGCCUUUGAAACUGUUGGUCUUGAGUAUCGGAGAGGCAGGCGGAAUUCCUAGUGUAGCGGUGAAAUGCGUAGAUAUUAGGAGGAACACCAGUGGCGAAGGCGGCCUGCUGGACGACAACUGACGGUGAGGCGCGAAAGCGUGGGGAGCGAACAGGAUUAGAUACCCGAGUAGCC
rnacentral:rRNA from 1 species